GGUGCACGGAGACCCGCCGCCAGCACAGGCCCGCGCAGCCCCCACCCCGCCCCCUCCCGAGCCCCUGGAAAGCGGGCGACGGACUUACAAACCCCUUUCUGAAAAGCAAGCGAGACAAAACCUCAGAGGGGCCUGCUGCGAGCCCAGGCCGUCCCAGGCCGACUUUGCUUUCGGAAGCUGCCGCGCUUCCGUCCACCUAGGGCUGUGCCUUUUCGUCGUUUUGCAGGAAAGCGCGGGCCGAGGCCGAGGGGGAAGGGGCCCCGGGCGUUGGCAAUACAUCGAUACACGCAUUGCUCAGCAGAGAAGGAAGCGUGCCCCGGAGUGACCACUUCCGGCGCGGGGGACCUGCAGCCCCCCCUCCCUUGUCGGUGGGGACAGGACCGAAGGGGGCGCCGUCUCCCUGUUGCCCAGGAGACGGCCCAGGGACGCCCCGCAGUUUGUCUUCUGGGGGUGCUGCGCGAGUGAUCAGUGCGCAUGUGGACAGUCGAAGGCUUGCUGAUUCUCCUUCCCGUGUCAGCGUGUACGUCUCACACUUUUUAAAACUGAAGGUGUAAGGUACCGGUUUUAUUAAUGGAAAAACUGGAUUGUUUGGCGCAAAGGCCAAAACACGGCUUCCUUCUCUCUUCCCCGUGGAACCCGCGCUCAAUCCACUGAGCUACGCCAGCCAGGUCUUUCUGACCAUUUCCGAAGAUGCUCAGAAAGUCAGUGGCAGCGGCUGGUCCGGAGACCAUCCAGUGAGCACUGAAGAUCUAACGUACACCCUGGACUUUGAAACCAGGACGAGGAACGAGGCGCAGACUCUGCCCGUCUGGACUCACCCUUUGCAGACAAGUGGGGACAACCUCUCAGCUGAGAGGCCCUGGGCUGCGGUGGGGGCGGGAAGAGGGAAUCCUCGCGCACCCAAGUAGGGUGGGGAGGAUGGGAGCGCUGACCCUUGUCUGUUAAAAAAGGUGCGAGAGGAGCCAGGACGCCUUAGAGGUGGCUUGGGAUUCCUUGGAAUUGAGAUCUGUUAGAAGGUCUUGAUGUCUAACGAUGAUGCCUAUAUAUCAAACCAACAGAAGCAGUGCGAUUUUUCCCAUCUAUAGAUACAUGUUGUUUGGAAUUCCUUCAG